UUGCAGGCUGCAACUCGCCUGCAUGAAGUCGGAAUCGCUAGUAAUCGCGGAUCAGCACGCCGCGGUGAAUACGUUCCCGGGCCUUGUACACACCGCCCGUCACACCAUGAGAGUCUGUAACACCCAAAGCCGGUGGGAUAACCUUUAUAGGAGUCAGCCGUCUAAGGUAGGACAGAUGAUUAGGGUGAAGUCGUAACAAGGUAUC
rnacentral:rRNA from 1 species